UCAGCAUGCUAAAAGAAAGCACCAUUCUCUGCAGGACCUACCCUGGCUGCAUGAACUAGAGUAUUAGAUGUCGAACUCUUAUGAAAGCUAUGCAGAUCUAGCUACAACCUCAAGAAAGCUAGAUAAUGCCCUUUUUAGCUUUAAUGCACCCCAAAAUAGCUCCUAGUUUCACAAGUUCAAUUCUGGUGCAUCAAAUGACAGAAUUGAUGAAGCUUGCACAACGUUAAAAGUACUGAUAUCACAAUAAAUAUAGACCACAGUGUCACAAAGCAAACCAAGUCAUGUCUGGCCAUAUAUGCUAAGUUACAAUGCAAACUAUCAAGAGGAUCUGGACCAUUUCAUGGCAUUUUCAUCGAGAAUAUUUUCCCUAAAAAUAAUAAUUUGCAAAAUUUUAAAUUAGCAAUACUCAAAUUUGCAUAAGGUUGCUCUAUAUGCAUAUUCUUAAAUUUGGGCCGGACCUAAUUCACCCCAAAAACUAGCUCAAGGGGAGGAUUGCCUAUGACCCAUAUAAGGGACACAUUACCCCCUUUCCACAACUGAUGUGGGAUUCAACACACCCCCUCACGCCCAGAAUUUUACUGGUGCGUGACAUAUUCAUGGGAGGCCCAACAUCGGAUGAGGAGGCUCUGAUACCAUAUUAAAUUUGGGCCAGACCUAACUCAUCCCAAAAGCUAGCUCAAGGGGAGAAUUGCCUAUGACCCAUGUGUGUUGAAUCCCACAUCGAUUGUGAAAAGGGGUAAUGUGCCCCUUAUAUGAGGCAUAGGCAAUCAUCCUACUAGAGCUAGCUUUUGGGGUGAGUUAGGCCUGGCCCAAAUUUAACAUGGUAUCAAAGCCUCCUCAUCCGAUGUUCAAUGAAUAUAUGACGCACCAGUAAAAUUCUGGGCGUGAGGGAUGUGUUGAAUCCCACAUCAGUUGUGGAAAGGGGUAAUGUGCCCCUUAUAUGGAUCAUAGGCAAUCCUCCCCUUGAGCUAGCUUUUGGGUGAGUUAGGUUUGGCCCAUAUAAGGGGCACAUUACCCCUUUCCACAACUGAUGUGGGAUUCAACACGAUCCUGUUCGCUCUCGAACAUUUGGGAUGUGCUGAAUAAAUGCCUAUGGCCCAUAACAAUAUUCCUUCGAACUUGAAUUAUGUCAAAUCAAGGAGAAACCCAAAAUCUGUAUCAAUAAAAAGUAUCUCAAUUUGCAAAAAUAAUGGCAUAAAUUUUUCUAAAUAAGAAAACAAAACAAUCCCCUCUUUGUGAAGUAUGCUUAUACAUUAUGUUCAAAUUUGCAAGAGCUAUGUUUAUCAUCACAAAUUUUCCAACAAAAUGCCAAAUGAACUAGUUUCAAGCAUGUGAUUGUGCAUAUGUUUUUGUGGUCUUAAUAUAUAUAUUAUAUAUAUAUGUAUGUUAAUAUUAAU
rnacentral:lncRNA from 1 species